AUUGAACGCUGGCGGCAGGCCUAACACAUGCAAGUCGAGCGAAUGACGGGAGCUUGCUCCUUGAUUCAGCGGCGGACGGGUGAGUAAUGCCUAGGAAUCUGCCUGGUAGUGGGGGACAACGUUUCGAAAGGAACGCUAAUACCGCAUACGUCCUACGGGAGAAAGCAGGGGACCUUCGGGCCUUGCGCUAUCAGAUGAGCCUAGGUCGGAUUAGCUAGUAGGUGAGGUAAUGGCUCACCUAGGCGACGAUCCGUAACUGGUCUGAGAGGAUGAUCAGUCACACUGGAACUGAGACACGGUCCAGACUCCUACGGGAGGCAGCAGUGGGGAAUAUUGGACAAUGGGCGAAAGCCUGAUCCAGCCAUGCCGCGUGUGUGAAGAAGGUCUUCGGAUUGUAAAGCACUUUAAGUUGGGAGGAAGGGCUGUACGUUAAUACCGUGCAAUUUUGACGUUACCGACAGAAUAAGCACCGGCUAACUCUGUGCCAGCCGCCGCAGUAAUAC
rnacentral:rRNA from 1 species